UACGUAGGGUGCAAGCGUUAAUCGGAAUUACUGGGCGUAAAGCGUGCGCAGGCGGUUUUGUAAGACAGAUGUGAAAUCCCCGGGCUCAACCUGGGAACUGCAUUUGUGACUGCACAGCUGGAGUGCGGCAGAGGGGGAUGGAAUUCCGCGUGUAGCAGUGAAAUGCGUAGAUAUGCGGAGGAACACCGAUGGCGAAGGCAAUCCCCUGGGCCUGCACUGACGCUCAUGCACGAAAGCGUGGGGAGCAAACAGG
rnacentral:rRNA from 1 species